GAUGAACGCUGGCGGCGUGCCUAAUACAUGCAAGUCGAGCGAACAGACGAGGAGCUUGCUCCUCUGACGUUAGCGGCGGACGGGUGAGUAACACGUGGAUAACCUACCUAUAAGACUGGGAUAACUUCGGGAGACCGGAGCUAAUACCGGAUAAUAUAUUGAACCGCAUGGUUCAAUAGUGAAAGACGGUUUUGCUGUCACUUAUAGAUGGAUCCGCGCCGCAUUAGCUAGUUGGUAAGGUAACGGCUUACCAAGGCAACGAUGCGUAGCCGACCUGAGAGGGUGAUCGGCCACACUGGAACUGAGACACGGUCCAGACUCCUACGGGAGGCAGCAGUAGGGAAUCUUCCGCAAUGGGCGAAAGCCUGACGGAGCAACGCCGCGUGAGUGAUGAAGGUCUUCGGAUCGUAAAACUCUGUUAUUAGGGAAGAACAAAUGUGUAAGUAACUAUGCACGUCUUGACGGUACCUAAUCAGAAAGCCACGGCUAACUACGUG
rnacentral:rRNA from 1 species